AGAGAUGGUGGCAGCGAUGGGCGGAGGGGGAGGCCCGGCGUUCGCGCAGACGGCGGUGGGGCGGUGGGGCGGUGGGGCGGUGGGGCGGCCGCGCCGGCUUCAGGGCGUCGGGGUCUCCCGGGGCACGUUCAUGAAGCCGGCGAGGUGGAGACUGGGCGCCGAGCGGUUUGCGAGGCUCGCGCGGUUCCGGGGGGCAGUGGGACGGCGGAGGGCUCGUGCGCUGCGGCUGGACCGCUCCCCGCGGCGGGCCGGGCACAGGGUGUGACCGGGCCUCCGGGCGCUCGCUGCAGCGCGUCUAUUUCGGUGCCUCUGACCUCAGCGAGGAAAGUCCCAGAAACACAGCCCCACCCUCCCUCUCACCCUCCUUGACACGCUCGCCUCUUCCCCACCACCCCAAACUCAGACCCAGAAGAACUGCGGGAAACUAGGCGCCUGCAGACCUGGUUUCUUAGCCCUAACUCUGUGUGACCCAGAACAGGAGUCCAUGACUUGUGGACGUUAGUCCGCUUAUCUGUAAAAUGAAGCGACACCUGCGUUAGAUGAUGCGAGGUAUGAAGUACCCUGCACUAGGGGUGCUGGUGCUAGGUGCUCCAGGGUUACUAGUUUCUUCCUGAUCCUGCCGCUGAUGUGCUCUGUGUCUUAGAGCAAUUUCACUUAACCUCCGGGGCCAGGCUUCCCCCAUCCUAGGAUGAGUCAAUUGCCUUUCUAGUCCCAGGGUCCUGGGGGCCAGGCCUUCUUGAAUCAUGGAGUCCGUGGCAAGCUAAGAGCAGGCACCGCCUCCUGGUGUCGGGGCUCUUGCCUUUCUGAGCCCUCACCCUCUUCUUUCCCCAUGCUCCCCACCCCCCAGCUCAGGGCCCUCCAGCCUUGUCUCUUGACUUCUCUAAGGUUCCUCUGACAAGUGAGUUUUCUCAUCCUCCCUGAUGGCUCGAAUGAGGUUGUGCCUAAGAUGGCUGGGCUCCCCAGAGGCUCUUUGAGGUUUCAGUCUGCUGAGACCUUAAAGGGCAUCCCAGGACAACCUUCCUGCAUGUUCCUACCAAGGUUGAGUCACUCCCCUGCACAAAACCAUUCAGAGGCUCCGUAUGGCCCUCAGGCCACUUGGCAAGACCCACAGGCCACAAUACCAAGGUCUCUCUUCUCAGCCAAGCCCCCAGGCAGGCUAUAGCCAGACUCAACUUUCAGCUGUCUUUCCUCUCUCCCAGUGACACAAACCUCUGCUGGGAUCACUUCUUCCCUGAGCCAUCCCCUCACACCUUUUACCUGGCUAACUCCUCAUCCCUGAUCAUCAUGGAAGAGGAUGGAUCCUGAUCUUAUAGUUCUGGAGCCUGGGAAGUCCAAGAUCAAGGUGCU
rnacentral:lncRNA from 1 species